GAAUGCCUGUGGUUUCUCCAGCACCUGGGUCCUGCUGGCAACCAGCAGCACCCAGUGGCCAGCAGCGUACUCUUUCACCUCUUCUUGGGUGACUUUGUGGAAUGCUCCAAUGUGACAUCUCCCUGUGAACGCCUUUCCUGACACCCUAAAAAGUGUCAGGAAUUUCCAGCAAGUUCCAGAGAGCAGGUUUCCAGCAAGUUUGGUCAGUAUGACACCACAGCGAUAUCUCUGCCAUUCACUGAACUUGGAUUCUUCCUUCUUCAGUGAGAGAUGUUCAAGAAAAAGAACAACUUCAGUGGAAGAAGAAGAAGAUAGGAGCCCAGGUCCUGUGUUUCACCAAGACAGCCGUGCAAAGCAGAUGCUGCCAAAAAGGUGCAAAGUGGUUUGUCAGCUCUUCUGCAUGUUCUAACAAAUUAGACAUGCAUCCCAAAAGGUUUCCUAGACUUUCCAUCACCACCAGUGAAUUCUGAGUGACAAUAGUGUGGAAUUUGGAAGAAUGGAAGAGAAACUGAAGUGGAGAGAUGGUGAAAGAGAAGAAAAAAUGAAGAAAGAUGCUUGCAAAAAUACUGCUGUGGGUCCUGAGAUGAGGAUUCUGGGAGGGCUGAAAUGGAUGCCCCUGACAGCUCCCUUUGAGUUCCUGUUCAUCUGAAGUACACCAGCUUUCUAGAUAUGCUGUCACUUUCCUUCUGCAGAGCCACAGUGGUGUCCUGUCUUCUCAGACCUCUUCUCACCUCAAAUCACUUAGGACUCGGCCACCAGACAGAUUUGGGAUUUCAGAACUUUUCAGAUGUUAGAAAGUUCUUUUCUAAAUGUGAUGAGGAAUUACGGAAUCAUAAAAUGGAAGCAGAGUUAAACUCAGACAUGUGGGCACUCAAGGCAAUUAGGAGCUUUCUGCGAUGAGAAAGGGAUCAGACUGAUCCUUAAGACUUUAUGCAACCCCAGAGUAUUGCAGCCACCUGCAUGCCGAAGGUGUCAAGAGUGUUCUCACUGCUGCCUAUAGGAGGGUCUUCAGCCUCCAGUGAUCCAAAGUACCAGGCUGACCUGUGACUGCUUCGGCCAACUGAAUAGGGAAGAGUGAUGCUGUGCUGUUUCCAGGCCUGUUCUUUAAAAGUACUUGGAAGCUUCUGCCUUGGCCUCUUUGUGCCUGAGUUGCUGUAUAAGAAUCUGACUACCUUGCUGGAGAGACCUUGUGGAGAAGACUUGACCUUAUAUGCAGAGGUAGAGGGGCCCUGGUUAGUCCAGCCAUCUAGCCAUCCUGUCAAAAUAGCAGAUCCAUUUCCUGCCCUUCUUUUAUUCUACUCUGUAUUACAGCCAACCACAUUUCCAGGCUCCCUUGUCCUCUGCUAUCUAGAGAUCUGUAUGCAAGAAGAAAUGAAAAAGAUGAACAGGUAGAGUCCAGGACUACCUACCACAGCUCAGGAGUUGCCUUGGGAUCCACAAAGAAAUUGAGGUGGUCCAGUACUCAUAAGCCAACAAACUUCAAAGGAGAGUCAAAUGUACAUUUUCAAAAUAAGAGUACUGAAAAGCAUUGAAAUAAACACACAAAAAGAGAUUCAAAUGUACAUCUUAAAAGGAGGAGGAGAUUCUUUGAAGAAGUAGGGGAAUAUGACGUUGAAAGUCUCUGAAGAGGUUGUGAUAGUUGUUUAAGGGAGUAGAACAUUAAAACAUUUUUGUCUGUUCAAUCUUAAUUUUUAAAAAUGAUAGCAUAGAGUUUGGCCAAUUAUGGAGGGGCUGAUUUCAUCACUAUCAAUGAGCAGUAAACUUUCUUGGUCAGGAGUUUGAGACCAGCUUGGCCAACAUGGUGAAAUCCUGUCUCUACUAAAAAUACAAAAAAAAAAAAAAAGUAAAUAAAUAAAAUUAGCUGAGCAUGGUGGCAUGCGCCUGUAAUCCCAGCUACUUGGGAGGCUGAGGCAAGAGAAUUGCUUGAACCCAGCAGGUGGAGAUUGCAAUGAGCCGAGAUCACCCCACUGCACUCCAGCCUGGGUGACAGAGCGAGACUCCAUCUCAAAAAAAUUAAUAAAUAAUAAUAAUAGUCACCCUUCCACCUCCAUAGCACAGCUACGUCAUGAACUGACACCUUAAAACUUUGUUCUGUUUUCAAUUAUCUCUUGGUUUCUGAUGCCUGGGUAUUUCUUUUUCUUUCUUGAGAGCUUAAGCAUGAAUAUAAAACAUUUCAAAUUUUAUAUUUUAUCCAGUAUUUCUAGCUUUUUAAUAGUGAGAUUUAUCUUACUCUCCCAUUUUAUUAAAACAGAAAGUCUUGAGUAACAUUUUAAUACUGAGAAAAAAAGCCUCAUUAUUAGUUUUAGAAAAAGAGAGACAAUCUGUGUUGUUCUGGAACCAAGACAAAGUUCUAGAAGAUUCUCUCUUGAUCCUUAAACAGCAUAGAAAAACCAGGUAAGUUGACUAUGUUCACGUUUAGGAGUAUGAUGGCCAAUGGAUCCAAAACCUAUCCUAUAUCUACAUGUUGGUGGCCACAUUAAUCUGACAUCUGACAGCAAGAGCGAUGAUUGGGUUCACUGGAAAUCUUUGUGAAGUACGAGUGAAGUCCUUGUGAAGUCAGAGUUUCCUCUUCAUGCCUCUACUCCUAUGCAGUUUGACCUCUCAGUGUGCAGCUGGUGAUAGAUGGAAACCCUUGUUCAUAAGCUUUGUGGCACUGUCGGCAGGAUGAGGGGACUUCUGGAUCCUCACUGGUCACUGUGGCAGAGUGGUUGGUGUUGUCUGCUCCCUAGACAGGAACCCACUGAAGAAUCUGACAUUUUUUGAUAUGCUGGCAUUCAUUGUUACAGCCCAUCAUCCCAGCCAUCAAUCCAGGACAUGGGGUCUGUGCCCACGGUGGGAAGGAGGAGGGGGAAGCUGGCUUUGUUCUGACGUUGGGCUUCUUCUGCUCCACCAGUACUUUCUGUGGGGGAAAUAGGUAAAGAAAUGGCUGUUCAGAUGAGAAGAUGUGUCAGUAAACUUUUGCUACAGUGAUGCUGCAAAACAAAUCACUGGUGACUUUCAGUGGCACACAGCAAUAAACAUUUAUUUAGCUCAGGGAUUGACAAUCUUUUUUUUUUUUUAAAGGGCCAAAUAGUAAAUAUUUUAGGUGUUUCAGGCCAUACAGUCUCUGAACUCUGAACUUGUAGCACAACAGUAGCCUUAGAUGCUAUGCAAAUGGAGGAGCAUGACUGUGUUCCAAUAAAACUUUAUUUAUGGACACUAAAAUUGGAAUUUCAUGGAAUUUUUAUAUGUUAAGAAAUAUUAUACUUUGAUUUUUU
rnacentral:lncRNA from 10 species